GACGAACGCUGGCGGCGUGCCUAAUACAUGCAAGUCGAACGCAGUGGGGACGGGGGAGUAACACGUGGGUAACCUGCCAUCAGAGGGGAUAACCCUUGGAAAAAGGUGCUAAACCGAUAAUGAAUGAUGGACCCGCGGUGCAUUAGCUAGUUGGUGGGGUAACGGCUCACCAAGGCAACGAUGCAUAGCCGACCUGAGAGGGUGAUCGGACACGCUGGGACUGAGACACGGCCCAGACUCCUACGGGAGGCAGCAGUAGGGAAUAUUCUGCAAUGGGCGAAAGUCUGAAGAAGCAACGCCGCGUGAGUGAAGAAGGUUUUCGGAUCGUAAAACUCUGUUGUUGGGGAAGCGGUACCUAACCAGAAAGCAACGGCUAACUCCGUGCCAGCAGCCGCGGUAAUAC
rnacentral:rRNA from 1 species